AUUGAACGCUGGCGGCAGGCCUAACACAUGCAAGUCGAGCGGAUGAGAGGAGCUUGCUCCUCGAUUCAGCGGCGGACGGGUGAGUAAUGCCUAGGAAUCUGCCUAGUAGUGGGGGACAACGUUUCGAAAGGAACGCUAAUACCGCGUACGUCCUACGGGAGAAAGUGGGGGAUCUUCGGACCUCACGCUAUUAGAUGAGCCUAGGUCGGAUUAGCUAGUUGGUAGGGUACGGCCUACCAAGGCGACGAUCCGUAACUGGUCUGAGAGGAUGAUCAGUCACACUGGAACUGAGACACGGUCCAGACUCCUACGGGAGGCGGCAGUGGGGAAUAUUGGACAAUGGGCGAAAGCCUGAUCCAGCCAUGCCGCGUGUGUGAAGAAGGCCCUCGGGUCGUAAAGCACUUUAAGUUGGGAGGAAGGACUUACAGCGAAUACCUGUGAGUUUUGACGUUACCGACAGAAUAAGCACCGGCUAACUUCGUGCCAGCCGCCGCCGUAA
rnacentral:rRNA from 1 species